rnacentral:rRNA from 1 species
CACGGGGGUUGCGAGCGUUGUCCGGAAUUACUAGGCGUAAAGGGCAGGCAGGCGGUUCCAUAAGUUUAUCGUUUAAGGCGUCGGCUUAACCGGCGUAGGGCGGUAGAUACUGUGGAUCUGGAAUGCGGUUGGGGAAGACAGAAUUCCUGGUGUAGCGGUGGAAUGCGCAGAGAUCAGGAGGAGUACCGAAGGCGAAGGCAGUCUUCCAAGCCGUUAUUGACGCUCAACUGCGAAGGUGUGGGUAUCAAACAGGAUUAGAUACCCGGGUAGUCCCUGAGCGGG